AAGGAUUCUCGACAGGAAUAAAAAGGCGGGUCUGCUAGCAAGGUGGAUGGCUUUUGCGGCCAAUUGCGUUUCGACAUUUGAGUGUCGUUUCAAACAGUCGUCAGCUGACACCAUUCAGCACUGUUGCCAGGAAAUAGAUUUCGUCCUGGCUGUACACUGAAGGCUGGCUCUUACUGGGGCUGCUGAAAUACUUGGCCAUCUGACCCGGGUUGUUCUGAUCCUCUUCAAAGUUCCGCCACUCAGCCAGCUGCGUGGAGCGCAGGGUGAAGAGCAGGAAGCAGAAGGCCAGCACGAUGCCGCAGGAGAGCAGCGUCCACACCACGGCGCUCAGCACAGGUGAGAGGGAGCGCCUCAGAGGAUCCGCGGUCAUCUGAGAAGACAGUACAAAAUGGGUGUUUUUACCUUGCUGAGAGUGCACAGUCUGUACAUCACCUCCAUGCUCUCCUGCCUGUUGACUUCUGAGUGGAUGAGACAGAGUGGUGAUUCACAUUGGAAGCUGCAGUUCCACUCAGCUUCCAUGUUUGGCCUCCGUCAGUGCACUUUCAAGCACACAUCCUAUGAAAUAAAUGGCAGGGAAUGGAAAGUAAAACGUCAGCAUCAGUUAAGUUAAGUUGGACGCUACUUUCUGCCUGCCUGUCUUUUGUUUGCAUGUGUACCUUACUGCUGUUACGUGCCUUGCCCACGCCUCUUUUGAUUCUACCCUUAGAAUUAAAGUAUUUUGCUACUUUAAUACUGAUUGGUUUGGUCUAAUCUAGUGGUCAAUGCUAUUGUAUUGUUGGUAUUUUUCAAUUAAUUCAGCCAUUGCUAUGCCUCAAAAUGCUUUAUUUAGGCCAAAUAUCUUUAAAAAAAAUAAGAAAAAAACAACAAAAAUCCGCAAUUUGGUCAAGCCGCACUAUUUGAAGCAUGAUGUGGCAAGGAUUGACUGUAAUUGCAGUUUUGUUCUCAUGAUAUUAUAACUUUCCAAAAUAAACACAACUUUAACAAUCCAACCUAAUUCUUGGGUUUCUUUUAGUAGCAUUAGGAAUUUGUUCCGU